rnacentral:rRNA from 1 species
GACGAACGCUGGCGGCGUGCUUAACACAUGCAAGUCGAACGAAGUGGCGAACGGGUGAGUAACGCGUAAUCAACCUGCCCUUCAGAGGGGGACAACAGUUGGAAACGACUGCUAAUACCGCAUACUGAAGGAGGGGCUUGCGUCUGAUUGGGUAGUUGGUGGGGUAACGGCCCACCAAGGCGAUGAUCAGUAGCCGGGCUGAGAGGGUGAACGUCCACACUGUGUCUGGGACACGGCCCAGACUGCUACGGGAGUGAGCAGUGGGGAAUCUUCCGCAAUGGGCGAAAGGCUGACGGAGCAACGCCGGUUGAGUGAUGACGGCCUUCGGGUUGUAAAACUCUGUUAAUCGGGGCGCGGUACCGGAAUAGAAAGCCACGGCUAACUACGUGCCAGCAGCCGCGGUAAUUC